UACGGAGGGUGCAAGCGUUGUUCGGAAUCACUGGGCGUAAAGCGCGUGUAGGCGGCCUCCUCAGUCUGGUGUGAAAGCCCGGGGCUCAACCCCGGAAGUGCAUUGGAUACUGGGAGGCUGGAGUACCGGAGAGGAGGGUGGAAUUCCUGGUGUAGCGGUGAAAUGCGUAGAUAUCAGGAGGAACACCGGUGGCGAAGGCGGCCCUCUGGACGGAUACUGACGCUGAGACGAGAAAGCGUGGGGAGCAAACAGG
rnacentral:rRNA from 1 species